GACGAACGCUGGCGGCGUGCUUAACACAUGCAAGUCGAACGAAGAGCGACGGAAGCUUGCUUCUAUCAAUCUUAGUGGCGAACGGGUGAGUAACGCGUAAUCAAACUGCCCUUCAGAGGGGGACAACAGUUGGAAACGACUGCUAAUACCGCAUACGAUCUAAUCUCGGCAUCGAGGAUGGAUGAAAGGUGGCCUCUACAUGUAAGCUAUCACUGAAGGAGGGGAUUGCGUCUGAUUAGCUAGUUGGAGGGGUAACGGCCCACCAAGGCGAUGAUCAGUAGCCGGUCUGAGAGGAUGAACGGCCACAUUGGGACUGAGACACGGCCCAGACUCCUACGGGAGGCAGCAGUGGGGAAUCUUCCGCAAUGGACGAAAGUCUGACGGAGCAACGCCGCGUGAGUGAUGACGGCCUUCGGGUUGUAAAGCUCUGUUAAUCGGGACGAAAGGCCUUCUUGCGAAUAGUGAGAAGGAUUGACGGUACCGGAAGAGAAAGCCACGGCUAACUACGUG
rnacentral:rRNA from 1 species